rnacentral:rRNA from 1 species
GACGAACGCUGGCGGCGUGCUUAACACAUGCAAGUCGAACGGUAAGGCCCCUUUGGGGGUACUCGAGUGGCGAACGGGUGAGUAACACGUGAGUAACCUGCCCUUGACUUCGGGAUAACUUCAGGAAACUGGGGCUAAUACCGGAUAGGAAUCCUUGCUGCAUGGUGGGGGUUGGAAAGCUUCGGCGGUUUUGGAUGGACUCGCGGCUUAUCAGCUUGUUGGUGGGGUAGUGGCUUACCAAGGCUUUGACGGGUAGCCGGCCUGAGAGGGCGACCGGCCACAUUGGGACUGAGAUACGGCCCAGACUCCUACGGGAGGCAGCAGUGGGGAAUAUUGCACAAUGGGCGGAAGCCUGAUGCAGCAACGCCGCGUGCGGGAUGACGGCCUUCGGGUUGUAAACCGCUUUCAGCAGGGGCGAAGCUUGUGGUGACGGUACCUGCAGAAGAAGCACCGGCUAACUACGUG